AAAUUUAUAGAUAAUAUUAUUUUAACUAGAAUAAUAUCGAUAGUAAAGGAAUAGUAUUUGCUAUCAAUUUUUUAGCCCUUGACUGGUCUCAAAUUCAUAGUUUAAUUGCUUCAUAUUUCGGGCUGAGUUCACUUCUAAUAAUGAAUGAAGUAAGUAGCAUACUAUCUCUCUCUUUCUAACAACAAAGAGCAGGUGAAUAUCGGACUAAAAUACAUCGGAUCUAUCGAUAACAAUCCAUGAACGGUUUAAAAUCUUUCUUCUUCUUUUUUUUUUUUGAGAGAGAUAGGUAGCAUGCUACCCCCUUCAUUUAUUUUAUUUAAAAAUAAAUUUAGCUGAAAAUGUGAAUCAACUAAGAUUCGAACUUGAGAGCUCGGGUACCAACCAGCCCUUUGUCACUUGCACAAUGGACGGUCGGUAAUCUUUCUUAAAAAUAUGAAUUCUUUUUCAAAACAUUUUUAUUAAAUUCCACAUUUAAAAAUGCCUAGAGGCUAGAGCUACGUACCUUGAGCCCAUUUUAAAAAUUUCCUUUUGGGCCACUCACUAGAAUGUUAGAUGUCUUUUAGAGUGUGUUUGGUUCGAGUUAUUCUGACAGGAUUACAGGCAAUCCUGCCAGGAUAACUAUGUUUGGUUAAUCCGCUAUGUAAUCUAGUCGUUAAUGUAGCAUUACAAAUCGAGUAGGAAUACAUCGAAAAUAUUAAUGGGAGGGUGGUCGUGUAUCUUGCAUUACUGAAACCCAUCAAUACUACAUAUUAUGUAAAAUAACAAUUUACCCUCCAACAACCCCAAAUCUAAUUAACAGUAUUAUUUUCAUCUCUCUCUCUCUCGCAUUCCCCCCUCUCUCUCACACGCCGCUUUCUCUCGCUCUCUCUCUCUCUCUCGACGUCUCUCUCUCUCUCUCUCUCUCUUUCUCUCUCUCGCACGAACACCUAUCAUCUUCUAUUGCGUCGUCCUCCCACGUAAUCAUCACGAUCUCCUUCCCUCCAUUCAUUAUUUUCGCAAAAAAUAAUAUUCAAAUGACCACAACAAGGGUAAUUUUGAAAAAAAUUAUACUUUUAUGUCAGGAUUACUAAAUUUAUAAACUGAACCAAACGUAUUAAUGCUAUAAACACUGUAAUCUAGUAUUACAUUACUGCAUUAAACCAAACGCGCUAAUGCAGCAUCAGUAGUAAUCUCACGCCGAAAUCCAAAAUACCUGGAUAUGUCGAGAUACUUGGUAAUAUUACAUAACUCGAAUCAAACGGGCCCUUAAGACAUCCUGUUUGGCCCAGAUUCUGUUGAAUGUGCUACUACUACCACUAUUUUUGGAAGCUAUUUAAUCCAAACAUUUUGGUUUCAAAUUGAACUAAAUUCAAGUGAAAAUUACUUUCUAAGGUAUCGUUUGGUUCGGGGAUAAGCAAAAAGUGGGUAUUCCGAGUAUAGAUAUAAAUUGAGGUAUAAGCGAGGAUUAGAUCAAUUUUGCGUUUGGAUGAAAAUUGAGUUAUUGCUGGGAAUAAGAAAAAUAACGUUUGGUUAGGUAAGAUGGGAUAAGAAUUAAAGUUGGUAGUUAAAAAUAAAAAAUAAUGAUAUUAUCUUUUUCUUUAUAUUAGAAUUUAAACUUGUAUAUUUUAUAUUUAUAUUUUAAAUUUUAAAAUAUAAACUUUUAAUUUAAAAGUUAAAAUUAAAAUUUUAAAUUUUAAAAUCUCAAAUUUAUAAUUUUAAAAAAUUAAUUUUUUAAAGUUUGAACAUUAAAUUUAAGAUGAAAUUUUAAUUUAAAAAAUAACAUAUCAAAUUCUAAAUAUAAAAAAAAUUUAAAUAUCAAAAUUUUAAAUUUUAAAUUAAAUAAUUUAAAAUUUAAAUUUUUAAU
rnacentral:lncRNA from 1 species